rnacentral:rRNA from 1 species
CCUACGGGAGGCUGCAGUGAGGAAUAUUGGUCAAUGGGCGUAAGCCUGAACCAGCCAAGUCGCGUGAGGGAUGAAGGUUCUAUGGAUCGUAAACCUCUUUUAUAAGGGAAUAAAGUGUGGGACGUGUCCUAUUUUGUAUGUACCUUAUGAAUCAGGAUCGGCGAACUCCGUGCCAGCAGCAGCGGUAAUACGGAGGGUCCGUGCGUUAUCCGGAUUUAUUGGGUUUAAAGGGUGCGUAGGCGGCCUGUUAAGUCGGCGGUGAAAGGCUGUGGCUCAACCAUAGAAUUGCCGUUGAAACUGGGGGGCUUGAGUAUGUUAGAGGCAAGCGGAAUGCGUGGUGUAGCGGUGAAAUGCUUAGAUAUCACGCAGAACCCCGGUUGCGAAGGCAGCCUGCUAAGCCAUAACUGACGCUGAUGCACGAAAGCGUGGGGAUCAAACAGGAUUAGAUACCCUGGUAGUC